rnacentral:tRNA from 1 species
GGAGAGUUGUCCGAGUGGUUUAAGGAGCACGCUUGGAAAGCGUGUGCGCGUAACAGCGCCGUGGGUUCGAAUCCCACAUUCUCCG